rnacentral:rRNA from 1 species
AUGGAUUCCAAGAAGGUGUUCGUUGUUACUAGUCUAACCGACGAUCUUGUGGUCGAAAUCCUCUCCCGGGUGCCGUUCAAAUCUUUUUGCCGCUUCAAAUGUGUCUGCAAGGCUUGGCUUGCCUUCUCCUCUGAUCCACACUACCAACAGAAGCUGCUGAAAGUUCCCACUGGUCUUUUGCACAAACCACAGUGGAUCUCUGAUCUCCAGCUUCUUAGCCUCCCUGGGAAAGACGAGGAAAUUGAUGCAGCUCUUACGUUCGUGCCGCACUACAAGCGCUUAGAGCUUGUAGACUGUUGCAGUGGCCUGAUUCUUUGCCGCUACAAGAGCUUCUAUACUUCUCUAGAGAUGGGCCGCUUCAUUGUCUGCAACCCGGCAACACGAGCGUGGAGGACAGUCCGUGCUCCUGAAUCUCACCCUCACCCACUUGAGUCAGAUGGCUCCCACUGUAGAACCUUUUUGGCCUUCGAUCCGUCAUGGUCGGCACACUUCUAUAUCAUCAACAUUCAAGAGAAUGCCGACGGUUGGGCAUUCAAACUUUACGUGUUCUCUUCUGAACUAUCCACGUGGCUUGUGGAUGGUACAUGGAGUUUUAAUCCUAGGAGACUUAAUAAUAAACCACACAAUUUUAUUGGUGGAGUGUUGCAUGUGCAGACCAUUAUUCGUGAUAUUCUUGUGGUUGAAGGCUUGGAGGCAAUAAGUUAUGGCAUGCGGCCCAAUCAUUAUACUAUUAAGCUUCCAAAUGACUGUUGGGAUGGUUGCUUUGGCCAAUCAGCGGGGUUCUUGCAUUACGCGUCUCCAGAGGAUGGUGGUCGUACAGUUGCAGUUUUCAGUGUUGAUGCGCAUCGUCCUUGCAAGUGGUCACUGAAGCAUCGACUUUGUAUGCGAGAUGCAUUUGGGAGAGACAUCUUUUCUUGCAGAGAAGGGUAUUUGUGUGACUUCCGGAUCGUCGCAAUUGACUUGGAGCGAGAUGUUAUCUUCCUUUUCGAUAUGGAGGCACGGAAGCUUUUGUCAUACAACAUCAACACUGGGAAAGUUAGUGUGAUCAAAGAUGUCUGGCUCUACUGGUUUGGGGACUUUUAUUCUUAUGUGGCAUGUUACUCAAAGCUCGCUGGCUGA